ensembl:rRNA 5S_rRNA 5S ribosomal RNA
GUCUACGGCCAUACCAUCCUGAAUGUACCUAAUCUCAGAAGCUAAGUAGAGUUGGACCCAAUUAGUACAUGGAUCGGAAUAUCUGGUGCUUAGGCU